rnacentral:siRNA from 1 species
UUGAGGUCUUAGCUGUCUGCA